CCCGCCCGCUCCUGAGGCGGCUUCCGGCGGCCAUGGCGGCGGCGGCGGCGGCGGCGGGCCCGGGCCCGGCCGAGCCUCCCGCGGCCGCUCCGGAGCUCAAGAGCCGCUUCCGUACCCGCGAGGGCUCCUACCGCCUGCUGGGCCCCGCCGCCGCCGCCGCCUCCUCCGCCUCAGCCCCGGCAGGGCCUGCCCCGCCGGGCCCCGGCGCGCUGCCGCCGGUUCGGCUCUCGGUGGUGAGGCUGGCCCGGAGCCGGAGCCCGCCCGGGGGAGCCGCAGAGCGGAGCCGAGUGUGCUGUAACCUCGGCAGGGAGCUGCAUUUCUACGGAGGGACGGGCAGCGGGGGACGCGGCAGCCGGAGGGCGCUGGACCUGCAGCGUCCCAUCGACAAGCGCGUGUACAAGGGCACGCAGCCCACGUGCCACGACUUCAACCAGUUCACGGCGGGCACCGAGACCCUGGCGCUGCUCGUGGGCUUCUCGGCCGGGCAGGUGCAGUACCUGGACCUGGCCAAGAAGGACAGCGCCGGGCGGCUCUUCAACGAGGAGCGCCUGAUCGACAAGUCCAAGGUGACGCUGGUCAAGUGGCUGCCGGACACGGAGCGCCUGUUCCUGGCGUCGCACGCCAGCGGCCACCUGUACCUGUACGACUCGGAGCAGCCGUGCGGCGCCAGCAGCCCGCAGUACUCGCUGCUGACGCAAGGAGAAGGCUUCCGGGUCUUCUCGUGCAAGAGCAAGACGCCGCGGAACCCGCUGCUGAAAUGGGCCGUGGGCUCGGGGCCGCUCAACGAGUUCGCCUUCUCGCCGGACGGGCGCUCGCUGGCGUGCGUGAGCCAGGACGGCGUGCUCAGGGUGUUCCACUUCUCGUCCAUGCUGCUGCAGGGCAUGAUGCGCAGCUACUUCGGCGGGCUGCUGUGCGUCUGCUGGAGCCCCGACGGCCGCUACGUGGUCACCGGCGGCGAGGAUGACCUGGUCACCGUGUGGUCGUUCGCCGAGGGCCGGGUGGUGGCCCGAGGGCACGGCCACAAGUCGUGGGUCAACGCGGUGGCGUUCGAUCCCUUCACGCCGCCCGACGGGCAGGGCGACAGGCACGGGGAGAGCCCCGAGGACCCGCCGAGCGUCACCUACCGCUUCGGUUCGGCCGGCCAGGACACGCAGUUCUGCCUGUGGGACCUCACCGAGGACGUGCUGGAGCCGCGGCCGCCGCUUCCCCGCUCCCGCCCCGCCGUUACCGGGGAGGAGCCGCCGCCGCCGGCGGCAGCACCGGGACCGCCCCCGCCUUCCGUGCCGGGGCUGCCGCGCUCCCUGUCCCGCUCCAACAGCCUCCCGCAGCCCGGCGGGGGUCCCCAAACGUCGCCCCGCGUCCCCCCGGUGCUGAGCGUGGGGCGUUUCGCCACGCUGACCCUGCGCGACCCCCGAGGGGCGGCCGAGAAGGAGCACAAACGUUACCACAGCCUGGGCAACAUCAGCCGGGGAGGAGGAGGAGGGGGCGGCAGUGCCGAGAAGCCCCCUCCCCAAAGCGGGCCGGGGUCGCGGGGAGGCUCCCUGGACUCGGCCAAGGUGCUGGGCACGGCGCUGUGCCCGCGGCUGCACGAGGUGCCGCUGCUGGAGCCGCUGGUGUGCAAGAAAAUCGCCCAGGAGAGGCUGACGGUGCUGCUCUUCCUGGAGGAUUGCAUCGUGACGGCGUGCCAGGAGGGGCUCAUCUGCACCUGGGCACGGCCGGGGGUCUCUGGCCUGUCCUCGCAGAACGGCGGCUCCCCGAGUGGCACCGUGGUGUAGCUGUGUCACCUGUGUCACCUCCUGGGUCACCUGUGCCACCCGCCAGGACAUGCCGGUGUCACCUGUGUCACCUCCCGGGUCACCUGUGCCACCUGCCAGGACACGCCGGUGUCACCUGUGUCACCUCCUGGGUCACCUGUGCCACCUGUGCCACCCUCCAGGACAUCCCGGUGUCACCUUGUCACCCGCCAGGACACACCGGUGUCACCUGUGUCAC